rnacentral:rRNA from 1 species
GUCGUAACAAGGUCUCCGUAGGUGAACCUGCGGAGGGAUCAUUACCGAAUUCGCCCUCACGGGCAGAGUUCCCACCCGUGUAUAACAUACCUUUGUUGCUUUGGCAGGCCGCCGGGGCUCGCCCCGCUGCCGGCUCACGCUGGCAAGCGCCUGCCAGAGGACCCCAAAACCUGAACGUCAGUGUCGUCUGAGUAUCAUAUAAUAAGUUAAAACUUUCAACAACGGAUCUCUUGGUUCUGGCAUCGAUGAAGAACGCAGCGAAAUGCGAUAAGUAAUGUGAAUUGCAGAAUUUAGUGAAUCAUCGAAUCUUUGAACGCACAUUGCGCCCUCUGGUAUUCCGGAGGGCAUGCUGUUCGAGCGUCAUUACAACCCUCAAGCUCUGCUUGGUAUUGGGCCGCGCCACCUGGCCGGCCCCAAAGACAGUGGUGGCGCCCCCCGGCCCUCAGCGUAGUACAUUUCUCNNNNGCAGGACCCGNGGCGGUGUCGACNCCCUAAANGCACAAGGNUGNCNNNCGAUCNGGUAGGGAUACCCGCUNGANNUNAAGCNUAUCAAUANGCGGAGGAAAAGAACCAACAGGGAUUGCCUCAGUAACGGCGAGUGAGCGGCAACAGCUCAAAUUUGAAAUCUGGCUCCUUCGGGGCCCGAGUUGUAAUUUGUAGAAGAUGCUUCGGGUGUGGUUCCGGCCUAAGUUCCUUGGAACAGGACGUCAUAGAGGGUGAGAAUCCCGUAUGUGGCCGGUAGCCUACGCCCAUGUGAAGCUCUUUCGACGAGUCGAGUUGUUUGGGAAUGCAGCUCUAAAUGGGUGGUAAAUUUCAUCUAAAGCUAAAUAUUGGCCAGAGACCGAUAGCGCACAAGUAGAGUGAUCGAAAGAUGAAAAGCACUUUGGAAAGAGAGUCAAACAGUACGUGAAAUUGUUGAAAGGGAAGCGCUUGCAACCAGACUUGGGCGCUGUCGAUCACCCGGUGUUCUCACCGGUGCACUCGGCAGUGUACAGGCCAGCAUCGGUUUGGGUGGCCUGAUAAAGGUCGCGGGAAUGUGGCUCCCCCCGGGGAGUGUUAUAGCCCGUGGCGCCAUGUGGCCCAUCCGGACCGAGGACCGCGCUUCGGCUAGGAUGCUGGCGUAAUGGUUGUAAGCGACCCGUCUUGAAACACGGACC